rnacentral:rRNA from 1 species
AUUGAACGCUGGCGGCAGGCCUAACACAUGCAAGUCGAGCGGAUGAAGGGGGCUUGCUCCUGGAUUCAGCGGCGGACGGGUGAGUAAUGCCUAGGAAUCUGCCUGGUAGUGGGGGAUAACGUCCGGAAACGGGCGCUAAUACCUCAUACGUCCUGAGGGAGAAAGUGGGGGAUCUUCGGACCUCACGCUAUCAGAUGAGCCUAGGUCGGAUUAGCUAGUUGGUGGGGUAAAGGCCUACCAAGGCGACGAUCCGUAACUGGUCUGAGAGGAUGAUCAGUCACACUGGAACUGAGACACGGUCCAGACUCCUACGGGAGGCAGCAGUGGGGAAUAUUGGACAAUGGGCGAAAGCCUGAUCCAGCCAUGCCGCGUGUGUGAAGAAGGUCUUCGGAUUGUAAAGCACUUUAAGUUGGGAGGAAGGGCAGUAAGUUAAUACCUUGCUGUUUUGACGUUACCAACAGAAUAAGCACCGGCUAACUUCGUG